AGCCAGCAGCCGCGGUAAUACGGAGGGUGCGAGCGUUGUCCGGAAUCACUGGGCGUAAAGGGCGCGUAGGCGGCCGAGCAAGGUCGCGGUGAAAGCCCGGGGCUCAACCCCGGGUCGGCCGUGGCAACUACUCGGCUCGAGCACUGUAGGGGCGGGUGGAAUUCCGGGUGUAGCGGUGGAAUGCGUAGAGAUCCGGAAGAACACCGGUGGCGAAGGCGGCCCGCUGGGCAGGAAGGCUCGCAAGAGCCGGCUGACGCUGAGGCGCGACAGCGUGGGGAGCAAACAGGAUUAGAUACCCUGGUAGUCCACGCCGUAAACGAUGGGCACUAGGUGCUUGGGGGAGCGACCCUCCGAGUGCCGGCGCUAACGCAUUAAGUGCCCCGCCUGGGGAGUACGGCCGCAAGGCUGAAACUCAAAGGAAUUGGCGGGGGAU
rnacentral:rRNA from 1 species